AUUGAACGCUGGCGGCAUGCCUUACACAUGCAAGUCGAAAGGCAGCACGGGAGCAAUCCUGGUGGCGAGUGGCGAACGGGUGAGUAAAGUAUCGGCACGUGCCCAGUCGUGGGGGAUAACGUAGCGAAAGUUACGCUAAUACCGCAUACGAUCUAUGGAUGAAAGCGGGGGAUCGCAAGACCUCGCGCGAGUGGAGCGGCCGAUAUCAGAUUAGGUAGUUGGUGGGGUAAAGGCCCACCAAGCCGACGAUCUGUAGCUGGUCUGAGAGGACGACCAGCCACACUGGGACUGAGACACGGCCCAGACUCCUACGGGAGGCAGCAGUGGGGAAUUUUGGACAAUGGGCGAAAGCCUGAUCCAGCCAUGCCGCGUGCAGGAUGAAGGCCUUCGGGUUGUAAACUGCUUUUGUACGGAACGAAAAGGACUGCCCUAAUACGGUGGUCCCAUGACGGUACCGUAAGAAUAAGCACCGGCUAACUACGUGCCAGCCGCCGCCGUAAUAC
rnacentral:rRNA from 1 species